UGCAUGGUGGGUAGUUUGACUGGGGUGGUCGCCUCCUAAAAAGUAACGGAGGCUCGCAAAGGUACCUUCAGUACGGUUGGUAAUCGUACGUAGAGCGUAUUAGUAUAAGGGUGCUUAACUGUGAGACAUACAUGUCGAGCAGAUGCGAAAGCAGGCUAAAGUGAUCCGGUGGUUCUGUAUGGAAGGGCCAUCGCUCAAAGGAUAAAAGGUACUCCGGGGAUAACAGGCUGAUCUUACCCAAGAGCUCAUAUCGACGGUAAGGUUUGGCACCUCGAUGUCGGUUCGUCACAUCCUGGGGCUGGAGAAGGUCCCAAGGGUUGGGCUGUUCGCCCAUUAAAGUGGCACGUGAACUGGGUUCAGAACGUCGCAAGACAGUUCGGUCUCUAUCUGUGGUGGGCGUUAGUAAAUUGAAAGGACAUGACCUUAGUACGAGAGGACCGGGUCGUACGUACCGCUGGUGUAUCAGUUGUGCCGCCAGGUGCAAUGCUGAGUAGCUAUGUACGGACAGGAUAAACGCUGAAAGCAUCUAAGCGUGAAACCUUCCUUAAGAUGAGUUUACUUUUAAGGGCUGUCAAAGACUAUGACGUUGAUAGGCUAUAGGUGUAAAAAUGGUAACAUUAAAGCCAAGUAGUACUAAUUGCCCGUAUGCUUUAUUUUU
rnacentral:rRNA from 1 species